ACGGCGAGUGAAGCGGCAAGAGCUCAAAUUUGAAAGCUGGCUCCUUCGGGGUCCGCAUUGUAAUUUGCAGAGGAUGCUUCGGGAGUGGCCCCCAUCUAAGUGCCCUGGAACGGGCCGUCAUAGAGGGUGAGAAUCCCGUCUGGGAUGGGGUGUCCACGCCCGUGUGAAGCUCCUUCGACGAGUCGAGUUGUUUGGGAAUGCAGCUCUAAAUGGGUGGUAAAUUUCAUCUAAAGCUAAAUACUGGCCGGAGACCGAUAGCGCACAAGUAGAGUGAUCGAAAGAUGAAAAGCACUUUGAAAAGAGAGUUAAACAGCACGUGAAAUUGUUGAAAGGGAAGCGCUUGCGACCAGACUCGCCCACGGGGUUCAGCCGGCAUUCGUGCCGGUGUACUUCCCCGCGGGCGGGCCAGCGUCGGUUUGGGCGGCCGGUCAAAGGCCCUCGGAAUGUAACGCCCCCCGGGGCGUCUUAUAGCCGAGGGUGCCAUGCGGCCAGCCCGGACCGAGGAACGCGCUUCGGCUCGGACGCUGGCAUAAUGGUCGUAAGCGACCCGU
rnacentral:rRNA from 1 species